UACGUAGGGGGCGAGCGUUGUCCGGAGUUACUGGGCGUAAAGCGCUUGUAGGCGGUCCACCAAGUUUGGGGUGACAGUUGCCGACUUAAUCGGCAAAGUGCCUCAAAGACUGGCGGACUUGAGGGCCACAGAGGGACAUGGAACUCCAGGUGUAGUGGUGAAAUGCGUAGAUAUCUGGAAGAACACCAAAGGCGAAGGCAGUGUCCUGGGUGGUCGCUGACGCUGAGAGACGAAAGCCAGGGGAGCGAACGGG
rnacentral:rRNA from 1 species